rnacentral:rRNA from 1 species
UUUUGGUUUAGUUCUGGCCAUAGGAGGGUUUCAUUUUCAUGUUCCACAUAAAUGUUUUAUAUUAAUUGUUGUAGUGUCUUUUGGACUUUUUGUUUAGUGGUAAGAUCUUAUUUUAUAUAUUGGUAUAGUUUAGGGUGAUUAUGGUUAGGGUGGAUAAUUCGCAGUGCCAGCAUCCGCGGUUAUUCUGUUUUACCCUACUCUCUUUGUAUUGGUUUAAAAGCUUCAGUCUAUAGUUAAUAAUUAGCUGCAAUAUGUGUUUUUGUAUUUUAUAUAAUAGUCUGUUUGUUGUUGGAUUACUAGUUGAGGAUAGAGAUUAGAGACCUCUUUACUUGGUUUGUAUUUUUUUCCAUGGUUUUAACUAAAAGGAUUUGGCAGCUGAUGAUUCUCAUCCAGGGGAGUGUGCUUUUUAAACAGAUAGUACGCUUAUGAGUCUUCCAGUUUAUAUAUUAGUUAGUGUAUAUCCGGUUUAAUAUUUGUGAUUAGUUUCUGAAUAAAUGUAUUAGUUAAUUGUUUUAGAAUUUAAGUCAGGUCGAUGUGCUGCUAAUACUCUGGGUAAUUGUGCAUUACAUUAUAAAGUCUAGUUUUGUAAAGGUUUCUAGUUGAUUCAGGACUUGGUAGUAGGGUGUUUUAAGUUUGGGCAUUCGAAUAUGAUUUAGUUGGGGUACACAUCGCCCGUCAGUUUCAACGUUAGUUGUGAUAAGUCGUAACAUGGUAACGGUUGGGGAACCAGCCGUUAGUUGGUC